CUUUCCAACCUGGCUGUCUUAAAGGGAACCAGAUUAUGCAAGACUUUGUGUUCCAGCUUAGGCUAAACCAAGAACAACUUUAUCCUAAGGUCAAGAGGAAAUAUUUGAUAGGUUCUAAAGAAGGGAGGAGGAAACUGAGACCCAGGCAGAAGAAUUUGUUCUUCAAACUGCGAAAGCAGAGCUACCCCAAUUCAUCCACACGCAUAGUAUUUCGGAGAAAAAAAGAAAACCCUAGGAUGGCAAGCAGUCAUGAGGACUAAUGGUGGCUUGAUCUAGGCUCACUGCAACCUUCACCUCCCGGGUUCAAGCAAUUCUCCCUGCCUAGCCUCCCGAGUAGCUGGGAUUACAGGCACCCCCCAUCACAACGACAUCAUGAAUUCAAAUUUAGUAUUUUAGAGUGAUCUUAAUAGGUUUUCUACCAGUUGAACUAUGUGGUCAUGGAAGCACUGUUGAGGGUGUGGCACUACUGCCUGUUCUUCAAAGGAAGUCAGGGACCCCGAAUGGAGAGACUGGCUGGAGCCCAGGCAGAAGAACAUAAAUUGUGAAGAUUUCAUGGACAUUUAUCUGU
rnacentral:lncRNA from 1 species